GACGCCAGUGUAUUGCCUCAGUAGCGGCGAGUGAAGCGGCAAGAGCUCAGAUUUGAAAUCGUGCUUUGCGGCACGAGUUGUAGAUUGCAGGUUGGAGUCUGUGUGGAAGGCGGUGUCCAAGUCCCUUGGAACAGGGCGCCCAGGAGGGUGAGAGCCCCGUGGGAUGCCGGCGGAAGCAGUGAGGCCCUUCUGACGAGUCGAGUUGUUUGGGAAU
rnacentral:rRNA from 1 species